CGAAGUGUGAAAAAUAUAUCAUUGUAAAGCUGUUGAAGAUGAGGCUCAUGUUAUAUACAACUGCAAGUUUUAUGAGAGUUUUCGGCAACGUCUUAUUCCAAA